AUUGAACGCUGGCGGCAGGCCUAACACAUGCAAUUCGAGCGGAUGUAGUUAUCUUGCUCCUGUAUUCAGCGGCGGACGGGUGAGUAAUGCCUAGGAAUCUGCCUGCUAGUGGGGGAUAACGUCCGGAAACGGGCGCUAAUACCGCAUACGUCCUGAGGGAGCAAGUGGGGGUUCUUCGGACCUCACGCUAUCAGAUGAGCCUAGGUCGGAUUAGCUAGUUGGUGGGGUAAAGGCCUACCAAGGCGACGAUCCGUAACUGGUCUGAGAGGAUGAUCAGUCACACUGGAACUGAGACACGGUCCAGACUCCUACGGGAGGCAGCAGUGGGGAAUAUUGGACAAUGGGCGAAAGCCUGAUCCAGCCAUGCCGCGUGUGUGAAGAAGGUCUUCGGAUUGUAAAGCACUUUAAGUUGGGAGGAAGGGCAGUAAGUUAAUACCUUGCUGUUUUGACGUUACCAACAGAAUAAGCACCGGCUAACUUCGUG
rnacentral:rRNA from 1 species